UUGUUAGCUCCGUCGGUAGAGCAUGGAGCUCUUGAUCUCAGGGUCCUGGGUUUGAGCCCCAGGUUGGGCAAAA